rnacentral:rRNA from 1 species
AACGUAGGAGGCAAGCGUUAUCCGGAUUUACUGGGCGUAAAGCGCGUGCAGGUGGUUUGGUAAGUCGUGCGUGAAAGCUCCUCGCUCAACGAGGAGAGGCCGUGCGAGACUGCGAGACUAGAGUCAGAUAGAGGCAAGUGGAAUUCCGGGUGUAGUGGUGAAAUGCGUAGAGAUCCGGAGGAACACCGAUGGCGAAGGCAAUCCCCUGGGCCGCACUGACGCUCAUGCACGAAAGCGUGGGGAGCAAACAGG